rnacentral:rRNA from 1 species
GAUGAACGCUGGCGGCGUGCCUAAUACAUGCAAGUCGAGCGAACGGACGAGAAGCUUGCUUCUCUGAUGUUAGCGGCGGACGGGUGAGUAACACGUGGAUAACCUACCUAUAAGACUGGGAUAACUACGGGAAACCGGAGCUAAUACCGGAUAAUAUUUUGAACCGCAUGGUUCAAAAGUGAAAGACGGUCUUGCUGUCACUUAUAGAUGGAUCCGCGCUGCAUUAGCUAGUUGGUAAGGUAACGGCUUACCAAGGCAACGAUGCAUAGCCGACCUGAGAGGGUGAUCGGCCACACUGGAACUGAGCCACGGUCCAGACUCCUACGGGAGGCAGCAGUAGGGAAUCUUCCGCAAUGGGCGAAAGCCUGACGGAGCAACGCCGCGUGAGUGAUGAAGGUCUUCGGAUCGUAAAACUCUGUUAUUAGGGAAGAACAUAUGUGUAAGUAACUGUGCACAUCUUGACGGUACCUAAUCAGAAAGCCACGGCUAACUACGUG